UACGUAGGGUGCGAGCGUUAAUCGGAAUUACUGGGCGUAAAGCGUGCGCAGGCGGUCUGUUAAGACCGAUGUGAAAUCCCCGGGCUUAACCUGGGAACUGCAUUGGUGACUGGCAGGCUUUGAGUGUGGCAGAGGGAGGUAGAAUUCCACGUGUAGCAGUGAAAUGCGUAGAGAUGUGGAGGAAUACCGAUGGCGAAGGCAGCCCCCUGGGUCAAGAUUGGCGCUCAUGCACGAAAGCGUGGGAGCAAACAGG
rnacentral:rRNA from 1 species